UACAGAGGUCCCAAGCGUUGUUCGGAUUCACUGGGCGUAAAGGGUGCGUAGGCGGGUAAGUAAGUCAGUGGUGAAAUCUUCAAGCUUAACUUGGAAACUGCCAUUGAUACUAUUUAUCUUGAAUGUUCUGGAGGUCAGCGGAAUAUGUCAUGUAGCGGUGAAAUGCUUAGAUAUGACAUAGAACACCUAUUGCGAAGGCAGCUGACUACGGAAAUAUUGACGCUGAGGCACGAAAGCGUGGGGAUCAAACAGG
rnacentral:rRNA from 1 species